rnacentral:rRNA from 1 species
AGAGUUUGAUCCUGGCUCAGAACGAACGUUGGCGGCGUGGAUUAGGCAUGCAAGUCGAACGAGAACCACUGGGCAACUGGUGGGGAAAGUGGCGAAAGGGGCAGUAAGGCGUGGGUAACCUACCUCGGGGAUGAGGAUAGCCGUUCUAACGGACGGGUAAUACUCAGCGAUCUGGCGAAGGCGCAUGUCUUUGCCAGGAAAUGAAUUUCGCCUCGAGAGGGGCUCACGUGAUAUUAGCUUGUUGGUGAGGUAACGGCUCACCAAGGCAAAGAUGUCUAGCGGGUGUGAGAGCACGACCCGCGCCACUGGCACUGAGACACUGGCCAGACUCCUACGGGAGGCUGCAGUCGAGGAUCUUCGGCAAUGGGCGCAAGCCUGACCGAGCGACGCCGCGUGCGCGAUGAAGGCCUUCGGGUUGUAAAGCGCUGUCGAGGGGGAGGAAAGCCGCAAGGUCUGACCUAUCCCUGGAGGAAGCACGGGCUAAGUUCGUGCCAGCAGCCGCGGUAAGACGAACCGUGCGAACGUUGUUCGGAAUCACUGGGCUUAAAGGGCGCGUAGGCGGUCGAUCACGUCCGGGGUGAAAUCUUUCGGCUUAACCGGAAAAGUGCCUGGGAUACGGAUCGGCUGGAGGGAGGUAGGGGCAGCUGGAACUUCCAGUGGAGCGGUGAAAUGCGUUGAUAUUGGAAGGAACUCCGGUGGCGAAAGCGAGCUGCUGGACCUCUUCUGACGCUGAGGCGCGAAAGCCAGGGGAGCAAACGGGAUUAGAUACCCCGGUAGUCCUGGCCCUAAACGUUGGGUACUAUGUUGUGGACUUGACAUGGGUUCACAGCCGAAGCAAAAGUGUUAAGUACCCCGCCUGGGGAGUAUGGUCGCAAGGCUGAAACUCAAAGGAAUUGACGGGGCUCACACAAGCGGUGGAGCAUGUGGCUUAAUUCGAGGCUACGCGAAGAACCUAUCCUGGACUUGACA